CUGGGAAUCGAGCGGAGCCGCGCUUUUAAGCUCCACGACCUUAUCUCUCAUACCUCAGCCGCCUGGCCUGAAGCGAAGCUGUCUUGCCCGAGAAGAGAGUGGUCACGGUGUCGCGUGGUAACAAAGCUUAGGACGAGGAGAGCCUACAUGAGAAAGGACGUCCUCCGGUUUCUAGACAUUGGAAAGUCGAAGAUUAAGGUCCCAGCCUAUUCUGUUCCCUGUCCAGGACCCUUUUCCUGUCUUGCAGAAGAGAGGAAGGGAAAGGGAGAGAAAAUCAUUGAUCGCUGCCUUCUGCACACCUCCUACUGUGGAUGGAACCUGCAACCCAGACAUGUGCCCUGACCGUGAUUUGAAUCGUGACUCCUAGUGUCAUAGAUCAAUACCCAACCACUGAGCUACACCAAGUCUCCCAUCAGGAUAAAGCAGCAUCUGUCAUGCAAAUACCGCCCUGUGCAGAAGUGAGGGAAGACUGCUGCAGAAGUGAAUACAGGCAACAUCUUUGAUCCCAGGGCACAGGUCUUUGAGAGGAAAUCUCCAAGCCUCUCGAAGAGGCAUUAGAAGGCUAUCCAGGCAGCAAAAGUACCUCAGGAUCAUGGCUGAUAAAAACCAGGAGAUCGGUGACACCCAUUCCCCUUUUCUCUUCACACCCUAUUCCAUCCAGAUAGA